ACGAUAUGCUUUGGGGAGCUGUAAGUAAGCUUUGAUCCAGAGAUUUCCGAAUGGGGAAACCCAGCAUGAGUUAUGUCAUGUUAUCGAUAUGUGAAUACAUAGCAUAUCAGAAGGCACACCCGGAGAACUGAAACAUCUUAGUACCCGGAGGAAGAGAAAGAAAAUUCGAUUCCCUUAGUAGCGGCGAGCGAAACGGGAAGAGCCCAAACCAACAAGCUUGCUUGUUGGGGUUGUAGGACACUCUAUACGGAGUUACAAAGGACGACAUUAGACGAAUCAUCUGGAAAGAUGAAUCAAAGAAGGUAAUAAUCCUGUAGUCGAAAAUGUUGUCUCUCUUGAGUGGAUCCUGAGUACGACGGAGCACGUGAAAUUCCGUCGGAAUCUGGGAGGACCAUCUCCUAAGGCUAAAUACUCUCUAGUGACCGAUAGUGAACCAGUACCGUGAGG
rnacentral:rRNA from 1 species